rnacentral:rRNA from 1 species
GUGGGGAAUAUUGGACAAUGGGGGGAACCCUGAUCCAGCCAUGCCGCGUGUGUGAAGAAGGCCUUUUGGUUGCAAAGCACUUUAAGCGAGGAGGAGGCUACCGAGAUUAAUACUCUUGGAUAGUGGACGUUACUCGUAGAAUAAGCACCGGCUAACUCUGUGCCAGCAGCCGCGGUAAUACAGAGGGUGCAAGCGUUAAUCGGAUUUACUGGGCGUAAAGCGCGCGUAGGUGGCCAAUUAAGUCAAAUGUGAAAUCCCCGAGCUUAACUUGGGAAUUGCAUUCGAUACUGGUUGGCUAGAGUAUGGGAGAGGAUGGUAGAAUUCCAGGUGUAGCGGUGAAAUGCGUAGAGAUCUGGAGGAAUACCGAUGGCGAAGGCAGCCAUCUGGCCUAAUACUGACACUGAGGUGCGAAAGCAUGGGGAGCAAACAGGAUUAGAAACCCCAGUAGUCC